rnacentral:rRNA from 1 species
UACGGAGGGUGCAAGCGUUGUCCGGAAUCACUGGGCGUAAAGGGCGCGUAGGCGGCUCAUGAAGGCUGUGGUGAAAGUCCGGGGCUCAACCUCGGAUCGGCCGUGGCGACUCGUGGGCUGGAGCACUGUAGAGGCGGGUGGAAUUCCGGGUGUAGCGGUGGAAUGCGUAGAGAUCCGGGAAGAACACCAGUGGCGAAGGCGGCCCGCUGGGCAGUGGCUGACGCUGAGGCGCGACAGCGUGGGGAGGCAAACAGG